GUAGGUGGCAAGCGUUGUCCGGAAUUAUUGGGCGUAAAGCGCGCGCAGGCGGUCCUUUAAGUCUGAUGUGAAAGCCCACGGCUCAACCGUGGAGGGUCAUUGGAAACUGGGGGACUUGAGUACAGAAGAGGAAAGCGGAAUUCCAAGUGUAGCGGUGAAAUGCGUAGAGAUUUGGAGGAACACCAGUGGUGAAGGCGGCUUUCUGGUCUGUAACUGACGCUGAGGCGCGAAAGCGUGGGGAGCAAACAGGAUUAGAUACCCUGGUAGUCCACGCCGUAAACGAUGAGUGCUAAGUGUUAGGGGGUUUCCCGCCCCCCUUAGUGCUGCAGCUAACGCAUUAAGCACUCCGCCUGGGGAGUACGGCCGCAAGGCUG
rnacentral:rRNA from 1 species